rnacentral:rRNA from 1 species
GACGAACGCUGGCGGCGUGCCUAACACGUGCAAGUCAACUUGACUGAAGGAGCAAUCUGACAGUAGAGUGGCGCAAGGGUGCGUAACGCGUAAGUAACUUGCCCAAGGUAAGGAAUAACGUCGAGAAAUCGGCGCUAAUACCUCAUAAUGCAGCGGAUCCGCAUGGAUAUGUUGUUAAAGGUUUACCGCCUUGGGAUAGGCUUGCGUCUGAUUAGCUAGUUGGUGUGGUAACGGCACACCAAGGCUACGAUCAGUAACUGGUCUGAGAGGAUGAUCAGUCACACUGGAACUGAGACACGGUCCAGACUCCUACGGGAGGCAGCAGUGAGGAAUAUUGGGCAAUGCUCGAAAGAGUGACCCAGCAACGCCGCGUGGAGGAUGAAGGUAUUCUAUAUCGUAAACUCCUGUGAGAGCAGACGAAAGACAGAUUAUUAAUCUGGAUGACUGUAUGCUCAGAGGAAGCCCCGGCUAACUACGUCG